rnacentral:lncRNA from 1 species
CAAGAAUCAUUUGCAUUACUAUCCAUAUUUUUAACUUACAGAAUUGGAAAAUAGCUACAUAACCAUUCAAGGCAUGUACCAUUAUAAAAAUCAAAUAACCCAGAAAAGUGCAUUAGAUAAGUCCAUCACAGGAUACAUGCCAUAGAACACUCAAUAAUCUUUUGGGGGGAGGGCAUUUUAAUUUUUCCGGUUCUUGCAGACACUCCCAAGGUAACACCUUCCAUGGUGUUACCUAACACUAAUUAUAUGUAAAAUUCUUUGUUAUACUGAACAAAAAUUUCUCUCCCUGUAACUUCCAUUAUUUCUUGCUCCUGGCCUUUGUGCAAACACUUAAGAAAUUCAAUCACAUGAUGGUCUUUCCAGGAAGGGAGAGUUGCUAUAGGAGAGGAGCACAAUUCCCAGGCACAUGACCAGGAGGCCUGAGUUACCACGAAAUAGCUGUCACUUGACAUCACACAGCUUAUUUUCUCCUCUGUCAAAUUAAGGUACUGACCAAAACUAAUAAUUCCCAACUGUUCAAAGUCAAGACUGUCAUAUAAUCAUUAUUUUUAUUUAUAAAUCUCUCAUUUUAAAAAAAUGCCAUAUCCCCAGAAAAUAUAUAUACCAUAUAACAAGACUCUAUAAUAAGAAGCUUGGCUUCUUAUAAAAGAAUGUUUCCAUGAUGGGGGGUAAAAACAAUCUUUUUGGUCACUCUAUGUGGCUAUAGCAAAUAUGUCUAUAUUUCUCUGAAAGUUUUUAAACAUUGAAAAUACCAUAAAGAGCCCUCUUAACUGCAAUUAAAAUCCAGAAACCCAGAGAGAGAAGCCCAUUGGCACAUGUUUUUUUUUUUUUUUUUUUUUAUGGCAUUCUAUUGGAAGGUAGUUAUCAAAAACUUGGACCCUUCCCUACAACUCCUGCUAGGCAUGAAUUCUAAGUUGUUAAUUUUAUAUUAAUACUUGUUCUUUCAGGCAGAAGUGUGGAUUCCAUUCCACUGUCUGUGCAAGAAACUGAAAAAAAAAGUAAUUCUGGACAAAGGGCUCAGGCUUGUAGUCCCAGCUAUUUGGGAGAAUGAGACUGGAGGUCUCCCAAGUCUCUCUCAAGUUUGAGGCCAGCCUGAGCAACUUGGCAAGACCCUGUCUCAAGUUUUUACAAAAUGGAGAGGGCCCAGGGUUGGGAUAUAGCUCAGUGGUAGAUCACUUAGCUAGCAUGUGCAAGGCCCUGAGCUCAAUCCCCAGUACCAAAAAAAAAAAAAAAAGUCAAGUAACUGUGGGACAAGGGAUGGAGGAAGGGGUCCACGGACCGGUCAGGAAGACUGAUAGUGCACCCAGCUGGUCCACAGGAUCUUGGAGUAGGGAGUGCUCAGUAGGAGCUCCCUCUCUUGGAUGUAUUUGUAUUUUUCUGCCCUAUGAUGGUACUUGGUCUCCCACCUACUGGGUCUUAGUGCAGCUGUUUCCCCACUGGAAAAAAAAAAUAGUCAGGAUUAAUUCAAGUGUUUGCAUUUUGAUUCAUAAACCAUCAAUAUUUAAUUUCACAUUUACAAACAAACCCAAGAGAGCCUCUUGAGUUUGGGGACUCCACUUUCCUCUCUUCUCUUCCUGCUGAGCCAAUGUCUUUCCCACUGAAGAAAAGGACUGAACCUAACCCUACCUGUACAGCCACAGCUGCUGUGAGACAGGUGAGACCAUUUCUGUCUGGGAUGCCCUGAGGCAGUGUCUGCAGGGUUUGGUGCUGAGUAGAAAGAGAUAAAGGGAGCUGGAGAAUUGAAGAAGAAGGUCCUUUCUCUUCCCCACUGUAGAGAGGAAGAAUAAACCUCCUGAUUGACAGUCUCCUCCUUCUUACAGUUUGUAUUAGUUGUCAGAUGCUACCUAAGAAUUUGCUCUAAAACCUAGCUGUUUAAAACAACAAACAUUUAUUAUCUCAUAUUUUCUGCAAUUGAGAAAUCCAGGUCCAGCUUGGCAGGAUGGCUCAGCCUCAAGGUCAAGGACCUGUUUCCAAGGUUAUUCAUAUGGUUGUUGGCAGAAUUCAGUUCCUUAAGUGCUGUUGGACAGAAGGCCUUGCUGGUGAUUGGUUGGAGGAGUCCCUCAGUUCCUUGCUACAUGGUCCUCUCCAUAGAGCAGCUCACAACAUGGCAGCUAGCUUCUUUCUACCAGAGUAGGAAAGUAAGAGGGAUAAAGAGAAAGAAAGAAAAGCCCCAGAGUUGUUGAGACCUACUCUCAGAUAUGACAUUCCAUUACUUUUGCUGCAUUCUAUUAUUAGAACUGAGUCACUAGCUUCAGCACACACUCAAGGCAAGGGGAUCAUACAAGGGCAUGAAGACCAGGAGCCAAUUCAGUGGCUGCCUGACAUAGUUCAAAUCCCAAAUGAAUGCCAGAGUUUUGCAACUUCACCUCUUAGAGCUCUCUUCUCCCCCAUAUCUAACCUGGACAACUCCAACCCAGUCCCCAGACCUCAGAGUAGAAUGCUCUAAAGAAAAAAACACCUUACUCCCCAGGAGGAAGUUAGGUGUCCCUCGAAUGUGCUUCUCUGGCACCCUAGAUUCCUCCAUUGCACCCUUCCAUAUUGGAUAAUAACCUGGCCACUUGUGUCCACAGGAGAGCAACUUGUCUUUCUUGUUCACUGAUGUGGAAUCUGACCUGAACAGAGGACCAAAACGUACUAGACACUCAGUAAAUGUUUACUAAACUUAUUAAAUGAAACUUCUUAAAAUGUGGUUCUCAUCUUUCAUAUUAAAAACCAUUGUGUUCUCAUUACCAAGAGAGAGUCCAUACUCUUCUUGGAAUUGCAUUCAAGGUCUUGCCCAAUUUGGCCAAGGCCUUGCAUAAGGUCACCCCAGACACACAGCUCCACCAUCAGCCUCAGCAAACCAUCACCUCUUCUCUUAACCUAACUCAUCCUUCCAUGAGGUCCCACUUCUCUCUGCCUCUUAUGUCCUUCUUCCACGUCAAGUCUGACAAAUUCCUACUCCUCCAAGACAGAGGCUCUCUGCAUUUUACCCAGGUGGUUUCCAUACUUGUCUCUGUACACAACCUCCCAACUUGUUCAAGUCUCUUUUAAAAAAAAAAAAAAUCUUAUGUUGUCUUGAACCUAGUUUUUCACAUAACCAUUUCUCUAGAUUGACCGUGAACUGCCUGUGAGUAACAACUGGAUAUUUUUCCUCCAUAGCUCUCAUGAAAUAGGUCUGGGGAUCCUUCCCCUCUCCCUAAGGAGGAAAGAAAAACCCUUCCUGGAUUCUGGCUCUUAAAACCAAAUGCAAUUGCAACUCCACACAACUUAAAGGAUGAAUUUGGUGUUGCUGAAUUGAAUUCUAGAUUUAAAAUAAUAUGCUUUAUUGACAAAGAUGUUUUAUAUCAUGUUGUUCAGAUGUUUCCCUUACAUAAAACAUCAUAUACUAUAGGUCUGUGUCUAUGAAUUUCAAUGUAAAUUAUUUGUGCCACAAUUUGCUUUGUGUUUUUACAUAAAAUCCUCAGACCCUGCAUCCAUAAAGCCACAAAGUACUACACCAAAGAGGUUGGUAGGGAAAAUGUGAAGACUUGGUGAGGAAGACUCUGAACAAAAAGCCUAUAGUUAUUUCUGACCUGCUGAAGACAAGAUUGUUUCUUAUAGCACUUUGAAUAGAUGUCAAGACUAGCAGGAUAAUCGUAAUGAAGCACAGGAAAGAGGCACUGGGAUAAUUUUACUAAUUAAAAG